rnacentral:lncRNA from 1 species
UUUUAUAAAUCUUUUGCGUCUAGCUUAAGAUUUGAAGGACUACUUUGAACACUUUAUGAAAAUGGGAUGUCAUAUUCAUACAUUUAUUUAUGAUGGAUACCAUAGGUAUUAAUGGUGAUGCAUUACCAACACCUGAAUAAUUAUCAAUAAAAUAAAACAGUUUAAAUAUCUGCUGUUCUCUAGCAACAAGUUUUUACAUUGACUUCAGUACUAGUUUACCUUGAGUUUUAAAAAAACAAAGUUUUGUUAUAUCCACUCGAAAAAUUAAAUCAGGC